UACAGAGGUGGCAAGCGUUGUUCGGAAUUACUGGGCGUAAAGGGCGCGUAGGCGGCCUUCUAAGUCGGACGUGAAAUCCCCAGGCUUAACUUGGGAACUGCGUCCGAUACUGGAGGGCUUGAGUGCGGGAGAGGGAUGUGGAAUUCCGCGUGUAGCAGUGAAAUGCGUAGAUAUGCGGAGGAACACCGAUGGCGAAGGCAAUCCCCUGGGCCUGCACUGACGCUCAUGCACGAAAGCGUGGGGAGCAAACAGG
rnacentral:rRNA from 1 species